GACGGAAGGUGCAAGCGUUGUUCGGAAUUACUGGGCGUAAAGGGCGCGUAGGCGGCCAACUAAGUCAGACGUGAAAUCCCUCGGCUUAACCGGGGAACUGCAUCUGAUACUGGAUGGCUUGAGAUUGGGAGAGGGAUGCGGAAUUCCAGGUGUAGCGGUGAAAUGCGUAGAUAUCUGGAGGAACACCGGUGGCGAAGGCGGCAUCCUGGACCAACACUGACGCUGAGGAGCGAAAGCCAGGGGAGCAAACGGG
rnacentral:rRNA from 1 species